ACACAUGCAGUCGAGGGGUAUAGUUAGCUUGCUAAUUAGAGACCGGCGCACGGGUGCGUAACGCGUAUGCAAUCUACCUUUCACAGAGGGAUAGCCCAGAGAAAUUUGGAUUAAUACCUCAUAGUAUAAUGAGUUGGCAUCAACCCAUUAUUAAAGUCACAACGGUGAAAGAUGAGCAUGCGUCCCAUUAGCUAGUUGGUAUGGUAACGGCAUACCAAGGCAACGAUGGGUAGGGGUCCUGAGAGGGAGAUCCCCCACACUGGUACUGAGACACGGACCAGACUCCUACGGGAGGCAGCAGUGAGGAAUAUUGGACAAUGGGCGCAAGCCUGAUCCAGCCAUGCCGCGUGCAGGAUGACGGUCCUAUGGAUUGUAAACUGCUUUUGCACAGGAAGAAACAACAUUACGUGUAAUGUCUUGACGGUACUGUGAGAAUAAGGAUCGGCUAACUCCGUGCCAGCAGCCGCGGUAAUACGGAGGAUCCAAGCGUUAUCCGGAAUCAUUGGGUUUAAAGGGUCCGUAGGCGGUCUUAUAAGUCAGUGGUGAAAUCUCCCCGCUCAACGGGGAAACGGCCAUUGAUACUGUAGGACUUGAAUUAUUAGGAAGUAACUAGAAUAUGUAGUGUAGCGGUGAAAUGCUUAGAGAUUACAUGGAAUACCAAUUGCGAAGGCAGGUUACUACUAAUGGAUUGACGCU
rnacentral:rRNA from 1 species